UCUUACCGGUCGUUGUGCUUCUAAAUUCUUGUUAUUAUGGAAAUUAUAUAUUUCAUUUAUCUGGCUGUAUUUUAUAUAGCAGCGAACGCGUCGUUCUUCCUUUUUAUACGUCUUCCGUUAGCUUUGAAAUUAGCGACUAUCGAAAAUUGAUCACUCGAAUCGUCUGAAGAAUAUUCUCAUGAAAUCGUCAAUAUGGGCCAAGGCGAAGAUUCACUGCCAACGAUAAUGCCUUAGUAUAAUUAGAGCUUUGUCCAAAGUAAACCUCUGUGAAUGAAGUAUCUUUAAAAAUUGUGCUACGCAAGUAACAGUAAAACUCUUGUUGUCUUUAAUUAAAAUCUAAUCAAGAACUGAUUUUUUUUGGAGGUUAAUCGUUAGGGUGCAUCAAACGUAUUGUUUAUAUUUUAUACGGUCCUGUGAGUGUAGUAGUUUUCUUUCUUACCGACUCCUGGCACGAAUUCUCAAGCAAGUUACAGACUUUUCCCACAGGGCGGCAGCACCAACGCGUUCUUCAUCGAGAUUUACUUCUAGAUUUCAUUAUGUUCUUCCAUACUUCUGAGAUCAGUAAAACUGUUUGUUGUGCCAUCGAAAUACAUUGUACUUCUCAUCCAAUUGAAAUGGAUUCAAUCGCAACUCGAACGGCACAGCAUUACUAAACACAGUCCAUUACGCCGGACGGGGGAACGGGGAUCUUCCGCUGGAUUAAAUCCUGGAACAUGGUAUCGCUUACCCAGGAAGUCGUAGACAGGGAACGCACGGUUAGUAAGUAGGCAGGUACUCGCUUCUGACGUUAAUACGGAAAGUCCUUAAGCUGCAACUGUGGAAACUUUACGGACCGUGGCAAUGACAGACACAAUUCUUGAGAAGCCAUGUUCAGGAUUUCAAGAAGUGGAUGCACAGGACAAAUGAUACAAAUAGUGUUCCCUGAGUAUAUCUAUACGAAGAGAUUGCAGUUAACUGACACGCUGGAAAAUCGAGCAUUAACAGAAACUAGGUGCAAGGUACG